rnacentral:snRNA from 1 species
UCAGUUUGGCACUGCACGCACUAACAUUGCAGUAAUACAGGGAAGAUUAGCGUGGCCCCUGCAUGCAAAAUCGUGAAGCGUUUCGUAAUUUU